GAUAAACGCUGGCGGCGUGCUUAACACAUGCAAGUCGAACGAAGUUUUUCUUUCGGGAGGAACUUAGUGGCGGACGGGUGAGUAACGCGUGGGUAACCUGCCCUGUACAGGGGGACAACAGCUGGAAACGGCUGCUAAUACCGCAUAAGCCCUUAGCACUGCAUGGUGCAUAGGGAAAAGGAGCAAUCCGGUACAGGAUGGACCCGCGUCUGAUUAGCCAGUUGGCAGGGUAACGGCCUACCAAAGCGACGAUCAGUAGCCGAUCUGAGAGGAUGUACGGCCACAUUGGGACUGAGACACGGCCCAGACUCCUACGGGAGGCAGCAGUAGGGAAUAUUGCACAAUGGAGGAAACUCUGAUGCAGCGACGCCGCGUGAGUGAAGAAGUAUUUCGGUAUGUAAAGCUCUAUCAGCAGGAAAGAAAAUGACGGUACCUGACUAAGAAGCACCGGCUAAAUACGUG
rnacentral:rRNA from 1 species